GUGUAAUUCAUUAUCCCAACAAUCCCACUUUAUUACAAUUUAAUGCAACCUCAGUGUAUCAUAGUCAGGGAAUGAGGAUUUAAUUUAAAACCCAUUUUUAUAAAAGAAAGUGAGUCAGAGUGAGUCUUUGUUCUCAUGACACCAGAUAAUGGAGAGUUUCUGUUCAGUGAUUGCCAGGUGUUUUCAUACCACUGAAGCAAAGACUGUUUUUGAUAUAAUAUACUACACUAUAGAUACAAUCAAGAACUGGUCUGAUUAUAACAAUAGACAAACAGAAAGAAUGGAGAAUUUGGGCCUGUGUGUGUUCUUACCAUGCCAUCAGCCAAUCAGAGUUGUCAUGAUGUCACCAAUCAGGAAAAAUGGCCAACCAAACAAGUGCUUUAAAAAUGAAUAGGAAUGCUAAUGGCUAGCGUUUUCUUCCAGCGAUUUUCUAAUUCAGAAAGCCCAAACUGCAGCUCGAGGAAGGAAAGCUAAUGACUAGCCUUAAUGGAGAAGUGCAUGGUGGGGGAGCUGUCAGUCAAAACGUGUCAGCAGCCGUAUGUGGCAACAAUUAACGCCUACAAGAUAAGAAGCUGGCCAACAAAUUCCAUGCUGACAAGCGAUUCACACAUGCAAGUUUGCCAAGGCAAGUUCUGACAGGUGUUAAAAUACAGACGCGGAUGUGAACACUCGCAUAGAACCAUCUAGGCCGCUGGCAGAGAAGAAGACUGAUCGCAUAUGUGUGGAUGGCUUGCACUUUCUAGCUGCAAGAGAAUUCAGAGCCAAUGGCGUCUUCUGCCCAAUAAAGCGCUGUCACUUCUCUACAGUCAUCAGACUUUGUGCUUUCCAUUUAAGGGAUUCGUGUUCACACACUCAGCUAUCACAUCAGCAUCAGAAAUGUCAAGCGGAAAGAGAGAAAUCAGGCCGUGCAAGUGGUCUCGUCUAGAAUCUGCAAUCACAGAUACAAAGUCCUUUCAAGAAAGUUACAACCAAGUAAACAACUGGCUUCUCUCAGUUCAGGACAUUCAAAGGUCAUGGAUGUGUCAAAGGAUGAGCGAAUGUCAGAGAAAAAAGAAAUGAGACAGUCUUAUAGCAGUGGACUGGACCAAUGUUCAGCAUUAUUUGGAGAAACAUAAAGAGACGAUAAAUGGUUGAAUCUCAUUCGACUACAAAAUAAAAUUUUAAAAAUGGUAUCAAAAA